rnacentral:rRNA from 1 species
GUGGGGAAUAUUGGACAAUGGGCGAAAGCCUGAUCCAGCCAUGCCGCGUGUGUGAAGAAGGUCUUCGGAUUGUAAAGCACUUUAAGUUGGGAGGAAGGGCAGUAAGUUAAUACCUUGCUGUUUUGACGUUACCGACAGAAUAAGCACCGGCUAACUUCGUGCCAGCAGCCGCGGUAAUACGAAGGGUGCAAGCGUUAAUCGGAAUUACUGGGCGUAAAGCGCGCGUAGGUGGUUUUGUAAGUUGGAGGUGAAAUCCCCGGGCUCAACCUGGGAACUGCCUCCAAAACUGCAUGACUAGAGUACGGUAGAGGGUAGUGGAAUUUCCUGUGUAGCGGUGAAAUGCGUAGAUAUAGGAAGGAACACCAGUGGCGAGGGCGACUACCUGGACUGAUACUGACACUGAGGUGCGAAAGCGUGGGGAGCAAACAGGAUUAGAUACCCCAGUAGUCC